rnacentral:rRNA from 1 species
AUGGCCAAGAUGUUUGAAGAUUUCGUCCGCGCCGACAACAGGUUCGAGGUGGUUGUACCGAGGAACUUUGCUCUUGUGUGCUUUAGGAUCAAGCCAAGUGGAGCCAUGACGGAAGAGGAUGCCGAUGAAGCCAACCGUGUGCUAAUGGAGAAUCUGAACAAGACCGGCAAGGCUUAUCUUGCGCACACGGUGGUUGGAGACAAGUUCGUGCUCCGGUUCGCCGUUGGGUCGUCACUUCAGGAGGAGAGGCAUGUGACGAGUGCAUGGGACCUUAUCAAGAAGACUACGAGCGGUAUCAUGGAUUAA